CUUUUUAAUGGUUGUAACUCCUCUACUUGAAGUGAACGAGGAAUUCAUUGGGAUUUGGGGACCAUAACUAUUGAGCAAAGGACCAAAAAUCAAGCCAAGGCCGGAUUACCAAUUCCCAGUACUACUUCUGUAAAGAUACGGAAAAGAGAAACAAAAAACAACACAGAAGAUGCAAGAUGUGAGGGCAGCCUAAAGAGCUACUGGGCUCCUACCACUACAGAUAGGGAAAAGUGGAGCAAGAUCCUGUCUUCAAAUCCAGGCUACGGCAGCAGAUCUGGUGUGUCAACUACAG